GGCUCCAUCUUCAGGUAGUCAUAUAUAUGUAAAUUCUCUUGAUGUGCUACAUAUUUCCUGAAUUUUGAAUUUUGUCAUAGAUUUCAAAAAUGGUCUUUAAUAAAAUGGCAUUUCUCUUCUUCGUCUCAAUACAGGUGAUCUAGAGGCUGAUUGUCUGCCUUGGGUUGAUGCAGUGUUGAAUCUAGCGGACUUUUCCUUAGUCAGACUUCCUGGCAAACUUUGACUUCUCUGCAUGCUCCCUGUGCUGUUCCACCAACAAGUCGAGUUUCCUCUUCUUGAUGUCAGGGUGCUGUGUGAAGAGUCCUGUGUUUACCUCUAUCUCUGACCUGGAAGUUUAUAUUUGACGUUGGUGACACUUGCAGACCAUUAUCUCCAGAAAAAGGCCAACAUGCUGUUAUUGAAAUUUUUACAUUUUGCUCCAAAGGUGUUGCUCUUGACCAGAACAACACCGUACCCAGACAGAAUGGGAAGAUGGCUUCACAUUUAAGAUGUUCCUGUUCCAGUUUGUCAACUACUUUUCCUCCAUCUUCUAUAUUGCAUUCUUCAAGGGCAAGACGAGUAACCAGCCAUGCUGUAGUGUUCUGGACCCUCUGCAGACGACUAGUUACUUUGUCAGAUAUACCACAGAGAAGGGCGUUACCAUAAUCCAACCGAGAGAAAACUGAUGGCGUCGUUUAGUCUCGGUCGGUAGCGAAGGACCCCAACGAGGAGAAAGUGUACUUGAGGUGGGAACAGGACUUUCAUCUGGCCAACAUACCCAACCUUGGGCUAUAUGAUGAAGAUCUUGAAAUGGGCAUAUGGUUCGGGAUUCUGAGAGGCAUAUGAGCCAUAGCAGUAAUGUCUAACAACUUGAUCGUAUUUGCAACCUGGUUGGUGAUGUGCCUUGUCCCAGACAUGUCAGAAUCUGUGCAGCUUCAGAUGCUGAGGGAAAAUUUCUAAAGCCAAAGAAGCACUAAAUUUAUACAGCGGAGACAGUAUCGAAGGCAAGACGUGGCGAUGAUAAUGCCACCAACGCCACCAGUACGCAAUUCUGAUGACAGCUACGGGGUUUAUCUCCUAAACAAAUGAUAACUGGAAAAAAGUCUGAUACAAAGAGAGGUUUUUGCCCCUGACAUCAAAGGCAACUGUUAACUUGUGAUUUUUAGAAUAAUCUGUUGUAAUCAUAAAUACAAAUUUUUGAAGGUUUGUGUUUUGCCAGAAUCUCAACCUGACAACAAAUUUUACAUUUGAGUGUGUUUUUCUACGCAACCUUAAAGGGAUAUUUUUCUUCUUGAACCACGUUUAUGACAGACAAUGUAGCUUUCUUUUUUUCUUUAGUGUAGCUAUUAUUCAUUUUAAACCAGUACUUUCAGGUUGUAGAUAUAGUAUUAAGUACCGAAUUAAAACCAAAGUGUUAGUAGACAUUUGAUUUAAAACAAAUAUUGAAUCUAUUGUUAUGAAAUUUAGAGACAUAUACAUAAUCGUUAUUAUUGAAGACUGUUAGAAAUAGUUUGUUCCUUAAAAUCUAAAUACAUUUAUUUUCUCUAAAUAUAGUAUAAAUUGUAGUUUUAUUCAGUAGGAUAUUUAAUUUAUUCUCAAUUAAUCUUUUAUUGUCAAUUAUUGAAAAAAUGUGUACCAAAAAUAUUCUUUGUUUUUGAAAGAAACUUUUAAAUAUUGCUAUGAAAGUGUUUAUUUUCGUUUUAAAAUAAAGUCCAACAAGUAAGAUGCUAAUGAAAUCAAUUUUAUGAUUUCCUAUUUGUCCUUGUCAUGAGCUGCUAAGAACAAAUCAUUUUAUGGCUAGUGAAACUUUUUCGUAGCAAUUUUAAUUGUGGAAUUAAACACUAGAUCAUUAUUAUAGUACAUUGUUUUCCACUGGAUGUUAGUGUCUUAUAUUUUGUCGGACUUCAACAUAUUUUGCUAAAAUAAUCAAGAUAAUUUUUAUUCAAUUACAUAUUUGUUUUUGAUAUUAUGCCUAAAUGAUAAUUUUUCUGUUGGAUAGAUAUUUUAACUCUGAUUUAAAAAUUAGUUUAUAUAACUAACUUUCUCUGAUACAAUCCAACCUUGUUUUUCUUAUAUGUGAAUUAUCAUGUACAAUGUAUAUAUCAGAGACUUCAAUUUAAGUUUAAAUAAUGAAAUUAUCAAAUAUUAUUGUUCUUAUAAUUUAGAGUUAUGCUAUUUCUAUGAACAUUGGAGUACCACUAAUUUUUUUAUGACUUUUCCUUCCAAGGAAAAACAGGUUUUUCUGAAAGUUAAAACCGAAGUAUUGUUGAAAAAGUUUGAAAGAGUCCAAAAGUAGAAAAAGUUACACAAACAAAAGUAUCCAAUGAUACCAUGUUUUUAUCACGUUGAACAUUUGUCAUACACUUAUUGUUUCCUGUAAAAUAUCGGGGAACACGUUUACAAACUGUGUACAUGUACAUAUAACAUGUAGUUAGUCGUCUUUUUUCAUAUUUGUGACUUGGUAAGUUUAAUCAAGCAAUUUAUGACGUUAUAAAUAUAUUUUAUAAUGUACGAUAUUGUAAAGGCAGAAAUCAUUUGGAUUUUACCAUCAGAUAUAAAAUUGUGUUUGAUUAUCUCCCUUAGAUCAUAUUGGACACAUUAUGUGUAUAUAACCUGUAAAAUGAUUAUUUCAGUUGCAUGUUAUUAUGUACAGGUAUGUAAAUCUAUCAUCAAAUCAUGCAAAUUCAUAGAGAAAGUUUACCGAAAAAGGUCAUACAUAUUCAUAUCAUUGGGUUAAUGAAAAUAAGAAUAUGUAAUGUGAUUUGGUUUGGUUUGGUUUAGUAUUGUUUAACGUCCUAUCAACAGCUAUGGUCAUUUAAGGACCGCCUUCCCUGUGUGCAAGAUACAUGCGUGUAGUGUAUGCCUGUGUGUUUUGGGAGGCUGCGAUAUGUUCCUGUUUGUCUCCUUGAGAUAGCGCGGAGCUAAUGCCGACUUUAUAGUGCUAGCUCACUGAAACAUACUGCCGAAGAUACCCAGCAGGACACCCCACCUAGUGACA
rnacentral:lncRNA from 1 species